rnacentral:rRNA from 1 species
UACGUAGGGCGCAAGCGUUGUCCGGAAUUAUUGGGCGUAAAGGGCUCGUAGGCGGUGUGUCGCGUCGGCCGUGAAAACCUGCAGCUUAACUGUGGGCUUGCGGUCGAUACGGGCAUCACUGGAGUUCGGCAGGGGAGACUGGAAUUCCUGGUGUAGCGGUGAAAUGCGCAGAUAUCAGGAGGAACACCGGUGGCGAAGGCGGGUCUCUGGGCCGAUACUGACGCUGAGGAGCGAAAGCGUGGGGAGCGAACAGG